rnacentral:rRNA from 1 species
UCCACGCCGUAAACGAUGUCAACUAGAUGUGGGGGGUUUAACCCCUUAGUAUCGCAGCUAACGCAUUAAGUUGACCGCCUGGGGAGUACGGCCGCAAGGUUAAAACUCAAAGGAAUUGACGGGGGCCCGCACAAGCGGUGGAGCGUGUGGUUUAAUUCGAUGCAACGCGAAGAACCUUACCUGCCCUUGACAUUGACAGAACCCUGGAGAGAUCCGGGGGUGCCUUCGGG